UAAUGGUGAUCUUGUUGACUGACAUG
rnacentral:piRNA from 1 species